CUGGGAUAGAUCCUGCACAUCUCUGGUUUUGCAUUGAUCUCAGUUAAUAAAUCAGAAAUAUUCAUGAGAGCAAUGGAGGUCUUCUUAAAACCUUAAAGCUCCUUGCUGUGCUUGAGAUGUUAAGAAUACGCAGCUUUAUUAUGUCCCAUUAAUUCUUUCCAGAAGUGGAAUCUCUUUGAAGACAUUCAGUAGCUUGCCUCAAGGGGAAAAGCAGAGCCCCAUGUAAGGAUGUGUUUGAGAGUGAAGGAGAACGUACAUCGUCUAUAUGUGCAGUUAGCAAAUGCUGAACAGGAUAGGAUUGCCUCUUCACAUACGUAACACUCAUGGGUGAAGCAACAAAAUGGCUGCUGCUGUAGACCUCGAGAAACUCAGUUUGGAUGACUGCCAUGGCUGUGUCCAGAACCAGCAAAUUCAGGCGAAGAACAGACCGUCUGAUGCAAAAAGAAGUCACCAAGGACCCCAGCAUUUCAUCACAGGAUCUGCUAAUUCAGAUACUGGGCCAUCAGGCUGGAGAGAAAUUUGAGAGGAUCUGGGCAGAGACUGCAGAAAAAAGAAGACUGUGUUGUGUUAAAGUGUGAGUAGCCGCAGAGAGAGGUGUGGCUCCUGGGGGAAAGCAGGACCUUGCACUCACAGGGCUGAGAAGUGGACUGGAACUGUUUCUAUUAAAAUGAGUGAGUGCAUAGCGGGAGGAGAGCGAGAGGAAAGGGCUGCAGCGGGGAGUCAUAUAUUGAGUGAAAGGAUUGUAUUCGUCUUCUAUCAAAAAAUAAGCACUUUAAAGAUAUUUA
ensembl:lncRNA